UUGCUGAACCCUGGUAACCCAAGGAGACGAGGAGUUGCUGAACCCUGGUAACCAAAGGCUUGUAGAGCAAAUAGUUGCACCAGUACAGCGUAAUGCUAACAGAAACCGUCCGUUCUGAGGAAGGAAAGAUCACCAGCCGGUCCAGUAUGACCUCAAUGAUGAUGAUGAUAGAAUGGAUGGAGCAGGUUCAACGAGUGCAAUUAUUCCUCCACCGUUAGCACCUGGGGCAA
rnacentral:lncRNA from 1 species